rnacentral:rRNA from 1 species
UGGGGAAUAUUGCACAAUGGGCGAAAGCCUGAUGCAGCAACGCCGCGUGAGUGAUGAAGGUCUUCGGAUUGUAAAGCUCUGUCUUUUGGGACGAUAAUGACGGUACCAAAGGAGGAAGCCACGGCUAACUACGUGCCAGCAGCCGCGGUAAUACGUAGGUGGCGAGCGUUGUCCGGAUUUACUGGGCGUAAAGGGUGCGUAGGCGGAUGUUUAAGUGAGAUGUGAAAUACCCGGGCUUAACUUGGGUGCUGCAUUUCAAACUGGAUAUCUAGAGUGCAGGAGAGGAGAAUGGAAUUCCUAGUGUAGCGGUGAAAUGCGUAGAGAUUAGAAGAACACCAGUGGCGAAGGCGAUUCUCUGGACUGUAACUGACGCUGAGGCACGAAAGCGUGGGUAGCAACAGGAUUAGAUACCCUGGUAGUCCACGCCGUAAACGAUGAGUACUAGGUGUAGGAGGUAUCGACCCCUUCUGUGCCGCAGUAAACACAUUAAGUACUCCG